UACGGAGGGUGCAAGCGUUAUCCGGAUUCACUGGGUUUAAAGGGUGCGUAGGCGGGUAAGUAAGUCAGUGGUGAAAUCUCCGGGCUUAACUCGGAAACUGCCGUUGAUACUAUUUAUCUUGAAUAUCAUGGAGGUAAGCGGAAUAUGUCAUGUAGCGGUGAAAUGCUUAGAUAUGACAUAGAACACCGAUAGCGAAGGCAGCUUACUACAUGUUAAUUGACGCUGAGGCUCGAAAGCGUGGGGAUCAAACAGG
rnacentral:rRNA from 1 species